rnacentral:rRNA from 1 species
CGGGCGUGGAUUAGGCAUGCAAGUCGAACGGUAGAUAUCCUUCGGGAUAUUGAGAGUGGCGAACGGGUGAGUAACACGUAGAUGAUCUACCCUCAAAUGGGGGACAACCCAGGGAAACUUGGGCUAAUACCGCAUGAGUGCAGCGCAUAAAGCAUCUUUUAGGUGGGUGUUUUUAUGCGUUUGCAUAAAAAGGUGGCCUUUCGGGCUGUCGUUUUGAGGAUGAGUCUGCGUCCUAUUAGUUAGUUGGUGAGGUAAUGGCUCACCAAGGCGAUGAUAGGUAGGCGGCCUUAACGGGUGGCCGCCCACACUGGGAUUGAGAUACGGCCCAGACUCCUACGGGAGGCAGCAGUCGAGAAUAGUCUACAAUGGACGAAAGUCUGAUAGUGCGACGCCGCGUGAACGAAGAAUCCCUUCGGGGUGUAAAAAGUUCUUUUAUAUGUGAGCAAUGCUUUUUAUGUGAAUAGCAUGAGAAGAGAGAUAUUAGCAUAUGAAUAAGCAACGGCUAACUCCGUGCCAGCCGCCGC